UCAACUUAAGACAACAAUCAAAAUAGCAAUCCUUGUUAACAUGAGUUCUGGUUUCAUAUGAAUGUAUCGUAUAACUUAACUACAUAGUUCUUUAAACAAGGAGCUAAACUCUGAGUUCAGUGAGCAAGGAAUGAUAAAUAACGAAAAAAUGUGAUCACUCAAUUAGUACUACAAAAAUGAGCAGAAAGAUUAGACUGUGCUUGCAUUUCAAACUCAUAAGAAAUAGAAAUUUGCUCCUCACCCCUAAGGUCGGGAUCAUAUCAGCUUCUUUUGUCCAUAAUUGCAUGAGAUCAGAAGAGGCCAGGAAGACCACAAUAGUUCUCAUAAAUGAACUCCAUUAUGAAUAGUCAUAUGCAAAUUUCCCACAUUCCUGUCCAAUAUCCUAAGGACAUGAUUGCAAGCUCCCAAAGCAUGUGGGGAAUGCUUAAUAGAUUCACCUUGGAUCCAGG
rnacentral:misc_RNA from 1 species